rnacentral:lncRNA from 1 species
UAGGGCAGGUUUGCCACUAUGAACAGGUGAAGGCGAAUGACGUGUAAAUGACGUGUGGCCACGGUGGUCCUCAUCUAGACAGGGAAAGCCAGUGUUCCCGAUGUUCUGGUAACCUCUAGGUUGCAUCCAGGGUCGGAUUUAGGUUUGAUGAGGCGCUAAGCUACUGAAGGUAAUGGGGCCCAUUAUACGUCCAGCUGUCCUUUGUCAACAACAAAUUGUCGCUGUUUUUUGUGCUGAAUAUUUGCUAGAUGGUAAUUUAUGGACCUAAUAGGUAUCUAAAGCCAUUUGCACAUGUUGCCAUGCAACCAGUACAUGCAGAAUGUAGGCACCCUAUAUAUAGAAAUGAGCAAACCAGUGAUAUUUUAUGGAGCAGGCUAGCAGGUGGGGCCCAUUACUUACAUAAUAGGAGCCUACACGACACAAAACACUGUUGCUGUAUGUAGGUUUUAUUUUAUUUGUUUUUAUCUUAUAUUUUGGAAAUGUACAUCCAGUGGGUUUUUUUCCCUUUAAGUUUUUUUGGGGCCCCCAAGAAAGUGGGGCCCUAAGCUAUAGCUUGUUUAGCUUAUAUGUAAAUCCGGCACUGGUUGGAUCACUGAAGGUGGUUUGGAAACUUCAGCUGGUGCAGAAUUCAAGCGGCCAAGUUGCUCAGUGGGGCAGGAUGGUUUGAGCAUAUUUCACCAAUCCUGGCUUGAUAGCUCUGGCUGUUAGUUCCUGGGCCCAAUUCAAAGUGCUGGUUUUUACCGAUAAAACCUUAUACGGCUCAGGGCUGCAAUAUUUCAAGGAUUGCCUCUCUCUCCAUAUGAUCCGACCUGGAUCCUAAGAUCAUCUUCUGAGGCUCUUCAUGUGCCUCCUCAAGAGGUCCAGAGGUUGAUUAAUGUUCUGUGGCCUUUUUAAACAUGUGUCUUAUCGAUUUGUUUUUGUUCCACUAUGUAUUUUGUGUUCUCGUUUUGUGUUCUUACGUUGUGAAUUGCCAUGUGAUCUUCAGAUGAAGGGCAAUACAGAGAAAGAGGCCAGAAAUCUGGGCUUGAACUGGGCAGUUCCAUAUUUAUAAUCCUUGCUCAGCCAUAAAUUUAUUGGGUGGUCUUCAGACUGUCCUUAUCUGUCAGCCCGGCCUACCUCACUGGGCUGCAGGGAGGACUGACAAAAAACACCGGGUGAUGAAUGUAAGCCUUUCUGAGUUGUUUUAAGUAAAAUUGUUUGAUAUAGAAGGAAGUGGAAAAGUUUUGAAUAAUUUUUGGGAGUGUGGUUAUUGGUUUGCUUUUGUUUUAUUAUGUAUUUUAUGUUCUCAUUUUCUGUAUUUAGGUUGUGAACCACACUGUGAUAUUCAGAUGAGGUCUUAUCUUCAAGAACCGUUCCAGAGGAUAGCAUUGCAUAUCUUGUCUGUAAUGCUACUUAACAUCUGUAGGAAGUGAUUAGAUCUGGAGCACAGUGUACAUUGAUGAUAUUUCAAAUAUUUGUUAACAUCUGAAUUGGGAAUGGCUGUGUAGGCCCUGGAUUGGUGUCUGGGUGCUAUUGUGCUCCAACAUGAAUUUUAAUCAACUCUUCUGGCCUUGUCAUCACUAUUACCUUGAGAUUCUAUUACCUACAUCACUAUUAACUGCCUGAGAUUCUAGGCAAAGGCCUAUCUUAAAAGGUGCUUUGUUUUAAUCCCCAAACUCAUUCUUUAGCUACUUUAUACGGGCGUCUAACAAAUGAAUCAG